rnacentral:lncRNA from 1 species
GAACACAAAAUGGCGACACGUGGUUAGCAUUCGUCGCCAACGAGAAAUUGGGGUCGGCCCGAAAGCUCUAGAAUGCACCCCUCUUCCUCCCCGGGGCCUUCCACCUCCGCGAGUUUUAUGACUUAAAAAAGCCCACAGGCUGGUCUGAAGAGGAAGACAAACAUAAAGAUGAAGUGCUUAAUUCAAGGUCACACAAUGUCGGGGAUGGACCUCCAGAUUUCCUUACUGGAAAACAAGCUCAGGGCUCCCACUGAUUGUACAUUAUGGUGAGACGUGGUCUUGUAACACAGUGGUUAAGAAUGUGACUUUGGAGCCAGCCUGCUAGGGGCUGAAUUCUGACUCAGCCAUUUACUAACUGUGUGACCUUAGGUAAGUCAUUUACCUUCUUUGUCCCUCAGUUUCAUCUCGGUUAAGUAGGGAUAAUGAUAGCACCUAUUUUAUAGGGUUAUUGUGAGGAAUAAAUCCAAGUAAAAUGCUUAGAAUAGUAACUGAAACAUAGCACUCAUUAGGAAUGCUUUAAUUUUCAUUUAUUUGAGUAUUAAAGGUUGAAUUUUCAGAGGUAUUUUGGACCUUUGUAUUUUUUCUUUAAAUCACUUAUUCAUGACUUUUGAACUUUUUUUUUUCUUUUAGAGACAGGGUCUUGGUUUGUUGUCUAGGCUGGAAUGCAGUGGUGCAAUCAUAGCUCACUGUAGCCUUGAACUCUUGGGCUCAAGAGAUCCUCCUGCCUCAGCCUCGUGAGUAGCUGGGCCUACAGGCGCCUGCUACCACACCUGGCUAAUUUUUUAUUUUUUGUAGAGAUGGGUUCUUGCAGCCCAGACUGGUCUUGAGCUUUGGCCUGAAGUGCUCCUCCUGCCUUGGCCUCUCAAAGCAUUGGGGUUACAGGUGUGAAGCACUGCACCUUGCCUACACAUUUUUUCCAAUAAUUUUUUUUAUUAAUUUGUAAGAGUUAACAUGUCGACUAUCAUAUAUAACAUAGAAUUGUUCCCAUUUUGUCAUUUCCUUUCAACUUUGUCUAUGUAGCUUUUUUUCUGUGUGCAAAUUUUACAUUUUUAGGUAGUCAGAAAAUCUCUUCCCUUGUAAUUUUUUCUGCUACUAGACCAAUGUUUAGAAAAAAGCGUGCUUCCCCACCUCAAAAUUAUAAAAAUAGUUACUUGUUCUUUUUGAGUACUGUGUGUGUUUAAAUCUUUAAUCUUUAAAUUUAAAUCUUUGAUCCAUCUGGUAUUUAUUUUGAUAUGAAGAGAGUGGUUGGGAUCUGGCUGUAUUUCUUUUUUCUUUUUUUUUCUUUUUUCUUUUUUUGACGAAGUCUCACUGUUGCUCAGGCUGGAGUGCAAUGGCAUGAUCUCGGCUCAUCACAACCUCUGCUUCCUGGGUUCAAGCGAUUCUCCUGCCUCAGCCUCCCGAGUACCUGGGACUACAGGCACUCGCCACCAUGCCCGGCUGAUUUUUGUAUUUUUAAUAGAGAUGGUUUCACUAUGUUGGCCAGGCUGGUCUCGAACUCCUGACCUUGUGAUCUGCCCACCUCAGCCUCGAAAAGUGCUGGGAUUACAGGCGUGAGCCACUGCGCCCAGCCUUGUAUUUUUUUUCAGUUUGGGUAGCUGUCCCUAAUUCAUUUGUUAAAGGAGAAGCAAGAGCAAGAACCUUUAAUCUGUUCUCCUCUUCCCUAAUUUGAAAGUAGCUUGUUAUUUUGAAUAUCACUUUCUCUGAAAUAGCACAUCUCCAUCUCAGAGAAUGGAUUUAAUGUUUGGAUACAGCCAAAAGUCAUUUCAUUACCAAACCAUGGGGUGAAUAUACCAUGUAAAGCAGUUUGGGAUCAGAACUCACAGUCUGAAUUGUAAGUGAUGAGACUGCUGUCUCUCUGCUACAGCUUCUUGGCUGGCUCUGAAGGCUCUUUGAAGGCAGAUCCUAACAAGGGGACUGCUUUGAAGGGCCAUUGUUCAUUUGGAAUGAUAAAGUCUAUGUUGUUCAAAAAACAAAUGCUUGUAGCAGGUAUUUUUUCACUCCAGACUGAGAAUAUUGGUGGGAUAUUGAUAAGGGGUACUGAAUGGUAAUAAACAUGUGCUCUAGCUCUGUGCUAGUCAGCUUAUUUCAGAACUCUAGUUUGAUUCAGUUUCUUGCCUCUGACUCAAAAUGGAGGGAGAGUGAUUUUUACAUAAGAGAACACACCCACAUAUCCUUUUGGCAGCAGCUACCUGCCAGAGAUGUUGAAGAAGAGUAGCCAACCUUUACACAGCAGAUAUUGUGUGCCAGUCAUAGUCCUAAGUAUAAUACCUUACAUGUAUAAACUUCUUAUAAGGUUGGUGCUCUGUACCGAAUUGAAUAGUAUCCCCCAAAAUUCAUGUUGUCCCAGAACCUAUGAAAGUGAUCUUACUUGAGGGAGGGGGGAGGGGGGAGGGAUAGCAUUAGGAGAUAUACCUAAUGCUAAAUGACGAGUUAAUGGGUGUAGCACACCAGCAUGGCACAUGUAUACAUAUGUAACUAACCUGCACAUUGUGCACAUGUACCCUAAAACUUAAAGUAUAAUAAUAAUAAAAUAAAAAAAAAAAAGAAAGUGAUCUUACUUGGAAAUAAGGUCUUUGCACAUAUGAUCAAGUUGAGAUGAAGUUGUACUGGAAAGUCUGUCUAGUGACUGGUGUUGUCAUAAGAAGAGAGGGACACAGAGGGAAGAUGGCCACAUGAAGAUGGAGGCAGAGAUUGCAGUUAUGCUGCUGCAAACUAAGGAAUGGCUCUGGCCCUCCAAGGAUUGCUGAUAACCACCAGAAACUAGAAGAG